CUUUCUACAGGCUUAACACAUGCAAGUCGAGGGGCAGCAUUUCAGUUUGCUUGCAAACUGGAGAUGGCGACCGGCGCACGGGUGAGUAACACGUAUCCAACCUGCCGAUAACUCGGGGAUAGCCUUUCGAAAGAAAGAUUAAUACCCGAUGGUAUAAUCAGACCGCAUGGUCUUGUUAUUAAAGAAUUUCGGUUAUCGAUGGGGAUGCGUUCCAUUAGGCAGUUGGUGAGGUAACGGCUCACCAAACCUUCGAUGGAUAGGGGUUCUGAGAGGAAGGUCCCCCACAUUGGAACUGAGACACGGUCCAAACUCCUACGGGAGGCAGCAGUGAGGAAUAUUGGUCAAUGGGCGCAGGCCUGAACCAGCCAAGUAGCGUGAAGGAUGACUGCCCUAUGGGUUGUAAACUUCUUUUAUAUGGGAAUAAAGUUUUCCACGUGUGGAAUUUUGUAUGUACCAUAUGAAUAAGGAUCGGCUAACUCCGUGCCAGCAGCCGCGGUAAUACGGAGGAUCCGAGCGUUAUCCGGAUUUAUUGGGUUUAAAGGGAGCGUAGGUGGACAGUUAAGUCAGUUGUGAAAGUUUGCGGCUCAACCGUAAAAUUGCAGUUGAUACUGGCUGUCUUGAGUACAGUAGAGGUGGGCGGAAUUCGUGGUGUAGCGGUGAAAUGCUUAGAUAUCACGAAGAACUCCGAUUGCGAAGGCAGCUCACUGGACUGCAACUGACACUGAUGCUCGAAAGUGUGGGUAUCAAACAGGAUUAGAUACCCUGGUAGUCCACACAGUAAACGAUGAAUACUCGCUGUUUGCGAUAUACAGUAAGCGGCCAAGCGAAAGCAUUAAGUAUUCCACCUGGGGAGUACGCCGGCAACGGUGAAACUCAAAGGAAUUGACGGGGGCCCGCACAAGCGGAGGAACAUGUGGUUUAAUUCGAUGAUACGCGAGGAACCUUACCCGGGCUUAAAUUGCAUUUGAAUAUAUUGGAAACAGUAUAGCCGUAAGGCAAAUGUGAAGGUGCUGCAUGGUUGUCGUCAGCUCGUGCCGUGAGGUGUCGGCUUAAGUGCCAUAACGAGCGCAACCCUUAUCUUUAGUUACUAACAGGUCAUGCUGAGGACUCUAGAGAGACUGCCGUCGUAAGAUGUGAGGAAGGUGGGGAUGACGUCAAAUCAGCACGGCCCUUACGUCCGGGGCUACACACGUGUUACAAUGGGGGGUACAGAAGGCAGCUACCUGGUGACAGGAUGCUAAUCCCAAAAGCCUCUCUCAGUUCGGAUCGAAGUCUGCAACCCGACUUCGUGAAGCUGGAUUCGCUAGUAAUCGCGCAUCAGCCAUGGCGCGGUGAAUACGUUCCCGGGCCUUGUACACACCGCCCGUCAAGCCAUGAAAGCCGGGGGUACCUGAAGUACGUAACCGCAAGGAGCGUCCUAGGGUAAAACUGGUAAUUGGGGCUA
rnacentral:rRNA from 1 species